rnacentral:rRNA from 1 species
CAGUCGCCGCGGUAUUACAGAGGGUGCGAGCGUUAAUCGGAUUUACUGGGCGUAAAGCGUGCGUAGGCGGCUUUUUAAGUCGGAUGUGAAAUCCCUGAGCUUAACUUAGGAAUUGCAUUCGAUACUGGGAAGCUAGAGUAUGGGAGAGGAUGGUAGAAUUCCAGGUGUAGCGGUGAAAUGCGUAGAGAUCUGGAGGAAUACCGAUGGCGAAGGCAGCCAUCUGGCCUAAUACUGACGCUGAGGUACGAAAGCAUGGGGAGCAAACAGGAUUAGAUACCCGCGUAGUCCCUGUCUCUUAUAA